rnacentral:rRNA from 1 species
UGGCGAAGGCACCCUACGAGGACGAAUCUGACAGUGAGGGAAUGAAGGCCAGGGGCGCAAAACGGAUUAGAUACCCGUGUAGUCCUGGCAGUAAACACUGCUCACUAAACAUCGGUCUCUCUUCGGGAGAAAUCGGUGCUGAAGCGAAGGCGAAGAGUGAGCUACCUGGGAAGUAUAGUCGCAAGAUCGAAACUUAAAGGAAUUGGCGGGGAGGCACACAACGAGUGACGCGUGCGGUUCAAUUAGAUUCUACACCGUGAACCUCACCAGGAGCGACAGCAGAAUGAAGGUCAGUCUGAAGGGCUUACCUGACGCGCUGAGCGGAGAUGCAUGGCCAACAUCAGCCUGUGUCGUGAGAUGACCUGUUAAAUCAGGUAACAGGCGAGACCCGUGUAUAUAAUUACUCUCGAAAGAAGUACAUUAUGUAGACUGCCUUGGUAACAAGGAGGAAGGUACGGGCUAUGUUAGGUGAGUACAUCCCUAACCCCCCGGGCUACACGCGCGCGGCAAUGAUAAGUUCAAUGAGAUGCAACUCCGAAAGGAGAAGCUAAUCCCCUAACGCUUAUCUCAGUACAGAUUGAGGGUUGCAACCCACCCUCAUGACGCCGGAAUUCGAAGUAAUCGUUUGUUAGCAGCAAACGGUGAAAUGUCCUGCUUCUUGCACACACCGCCCGUCA